UCAGGCAAAGUUGUUUUCAAACCGGGUACAAUGCCAAGUUUGGGCCUGACUUUAUUAAUAAAGCACGAGCGAGGAGAAAGAUUGGCAAUUCGUAUUAUGAAUUAGAGGACCUGCAGGGCCGGUUGUUAGGUAAUUACCAUGCUAAGGACAUACGGCAGUAAGUUCGCUUCAGGCGGAGUCAGUCUAGGGUACGAUUACAAUAACCUAGCCUGAUUCUAGAGGGGGGUUUUGUAACGGUGUUUGAAGCUAAUGUAAAUUAGAUACGGCCUAAAAAUAUCCCAUCUUAAAAAUAUGCAAGUUUAAUUCCAACUUACACUCAAGCAAGGUGAUGCAUCGAUUUUUGUUGCCUGACAUAAGGGGCGAAACUUUGAGUGCAUCUGCUGCGCUGGAAAACCGAGCUUUAAGUUAUGCAUCAGCUUCACUGAAAAGGUUAGCUUGACGAGUCGUCAGCUGCGUUGAAAAGCUUAGCUUGACGUUUCGACAGCUGCACCGCGCGCAAGCGCAGCCAACUUAAGCUGGGGCGGUUCCGGUCAAAACACUUUUUUUGUGACCGCCCGCGAGCAUAGACGCGUAUUUGCAAUUGUGUGAAAAUAUUUGUGCAUCGAGUCCCAAUUAGGUUAUUUUGUUGGAUUUGAGUCUGGUCGUUUUCGUUGCUUACUUGGCCUUGUGGUUUGGCUCUUUUUGAGCGCGACAGUGCCUGCACAAGCGACACUGAGCGCCGUCUUUGUCGCCGCACUAGCUGCCAGCGGAGUGGCACCGAGCGCCUUCUUUGCGGCUCACUAGCGGCCGGCAGAGCGCCACUGAUUGCCAUCUUUGGCGGC